GACGAACGCUGGCGGCGUGCUUAACACAUGCAAGUCGAACGGAAAGGCCCUGCUUUUGUGGGGUGCUCGAGUGGCGAACGGGUGAGUAACACGUGAGUAACCUGCCCUUGACUUUGGGAUAACUUCAGGAAACUGGGGCUAAUACCGGAUAGGAGCUCCUGCUGCAUGGUGGGGGUUGGAAAGUUUCGGCGGUUGGGGAUGGACUCGCGGCUUAUCAGCUUGUUGGUGGGGUAGUGGCUUACCAAGGCUUUGACGGGUAGCCGGCCUGAGAGGGUGACCGGCCACAGUGGGACUGGGAUACGGCCCAGACUCAUACGGGAGGCAGCAGUGGGGAAUAUUGCACAAUGGGCGGAAGCCUGAUGCAGCAACGCCGCGUGCGGGAUGACGGCCUUCGGGUUGGAAACCGCUUUCGCCUGUGACGAAGCGUGAGUGACGGUAAUGGGUAAAGAAGCACCGGCUAACUACGU
rnacentral:rRNA from 1 species